rnacentral:misc_RNA from 1 species
UCUCCGUAGGUGAACCUGCGGAGGGAUCAUUACAGAGUUUUUGCCCGCAAGGGUAGAUCUCCCACCCUAUGUUAUUCCUUCUCUGUUGCUUUGGCGGGCCGUCCGGCCUCGGUCAGGCCACCGGCUCCGGCUGGUGCGCGCCCGCCAGAGGACCUCAAACCCUAAAUGUCAGUGUCGUCUGAGUACUAUAUAAUAGUUAAAACUUUCAACAACGGAUCUCUUGGUUCUG